AUUAUAAACGGCAAAUAAUCAAUUGUAUGGUAUCUUAAUUGCUCGAAUAAAGUAUUGAGAUAAUACAUUAUACAUCUUUGCAUACGUCAUUUUCUUAAUGGAUUAUUUGCCUUCUUAACUUGCUUGGUCAAUACAAAGACAUCAUGCACUUCUGAAUUUGUUUACCUGUCUGCCAAUUCGUCAAUGUAAACGACUUCCAUAACUUUUUCUAAAUUCUUAUUCAAUGAAUAUUUAAAAUGACACAAGCUGAGGUUAAAUUUUAUAUCGGCAUUGAAAUUCUACAGAAAAUACAUAUCUAAUUCCAUCUCAAGAACAAAUGAAGUGGAAUGAAAAAAAAACAUGAAGAAAUAUUCCUAAGGCUUAGAAUGUACUUUCUUUACCAAUUUGACCCUGAAUAAAAAAAUUCCAAUAUGGCUUCAAGGGACUAGAAAGGAAGACCACUAGGUCCGAAAUUCAAAGAUUUCAACCUCAGAUUAUUAAGAUUUAAA
rnacentral:lncRNA from 1 species